rnacentral:lncRNA from 1 species
CAGGGAUGGAGGAAAGCAAGUCAACUGAAAGAGCAAGGCUGGAAGAACAGCUGUGUGAUUUCUGUUUGUUUACUUCUUAAAUGUGGACACUUCUCCUCAUUCCUCUUUUUUUUUUCCCAUUGGCCAUAUUUUCAAACAAGUUUUACUUUAGGAGGAAAAAUCUGACAGCUUUUCAGUGGUGCUGAUAUCUGGAAGAGCCUCUACAAAUCUCAAGACCUUUGAAAAGCCAGCUUAAUCUUCAACGAUACAACACACACAGGAGGAUUCCUCCAGAUACCGGGCUGUUGAGAAGAUUCCACAGUCUUCAACUCCACAGCUCUGAAGUUCCCAUAAGAAAGAUGCUGCUGAAGUCACACUUCAAAGCAUUGUUUCAAGAUUUUUCCGUCGACGGGAUGAAUGUUUGGGGCAAGAAGAGAGAAAUAGGUUCUGAAAGACACAGGGAUCCAGCCUUCUCAAAGAUCUAAACAAACAGUAAGAGAAGCCAAAGACAGAAAAAUUACCAGCUUCUGAUUUUCUAGAAAG